UCGAGAAUCUUCGGCAAUGGGCGCAAGCCUGACCGAGCGACGCCGCGUGCGGGAUGAAGGCCCUUGGGUUGUAAACCGCUGUCAGAGGGGAUGAAGUGCGGGUGAGUAAUUCAUAAUCUCAUCCGUUUGACAUAGCCUCAGAGGAAGCACGGGCUAAGUUCGUGCCAGCAGCCGCGGUAAUACGAACUGUGCAAACGUUAUUCGGAAUCACUGGGCUUAAAGGGUGCGUAGGCGGUCAUUUAGGUAGGGUGUGAAAGCCCCCGGCUCAACCGGGGAAUUGCGCCCUAAACCGGGUGACUGGAGUGAGAUAGGGGUGUGUGGAACUUCCGGUGGAGCGGUGAAAUGUGUUGAUAUCGGAAGGAACGCCGGUGGCGAAAGCGACACACUGGGUCUCAACUGACGCUGAGGCACGAAAGCCAGGGGAGCAAACGGGAUUAGAUACCCCCGUAGUCC
rnacentral:rRNA from 1 species